rnacentral:misc_RNA from 1 species
ACAUCUCAACUCUCAUGGCUUGCCAUGAUGAGCUUGGACUUUGGGGGUCUUGUUGGCCUGUGAGCCAGCUCCUCUUAAAUAAAUCAGCUUGCCGGUGUUUGGUGGCAUCACAGGUGUGAUAACUAUCUACGCUUGUGGUUUCCCACCAGUCAACCUUCAGCAAUGGAGGUUCGUCGGAGCUUAUAAAUGUCUCUCCUCAAGUGGGGACAGAUUUUGAUC